UGGGGAAUAUUGCACAAUGGGCGCAAGCCUGAUGCAGCCAUGCCGCGUGUAUGAAGAAGGCCUUCGGGUUGUAAAGUACUUUUAGCGGGGAGGAAGGGAGUAAAGUUAAUACCUUUGCCCAUUGACGUUACCCGCAGAAGAAGCACCGGCUAACUCCGUGCCAGCAGCCGCGGUAAUAAGGAGGGUGCAAGUGUUAAUCGGAAUUACUGGGCGUAAAGCGCACGAAGGCGGUUUGUUAAGUCAGAUGUGAAAUCCCCGGGCGCAACCUGGGAACUGCAUCAGAUACUGGCUAGCUAGAGUAUCCUAGAAGGGUGUAGAAUUCCACGUGUAGCGAUGAAAUGCGUAGAGAUGUGGAGGAAUACCGAUGACGAAGGCGGCCCCCUGGACAAAGACUAACACUCAAGUGCGAAAGCGUGGGGAGCAAACAGG
rnacentral:rRNA from 1 species